CUUCGGCCCCGGUAAAGCGGCGCACGGGUGAGUAACACGUAGGCAAUCUGCCUCGGAGGUGGUGGAUAACCCUCCGAAAGGAGGGCUAAUACAGCAUGAGACCACGUCGUCGAAAGACGAUGCGGCCAAAGCCGGCCUCUUCAUGAAAGCUGGCGCCACGAGAUGAGCCUGCGGCCCAUCAGCUAGUUGGUAGGGUAACGGCCUACCAAGGCAAAGACGGGUAGCUGGUCUGAGAGGAUGAUCAGCCACACUGGAACUGAGACACGGUCCAGACUCCUACGGGAGGCAGCAGUGGGGAAUCUUGCGCAAUGGGCGAAAGCCUGACGCAGCGACGCCGCGUGAGCGAUGAAGGCCUUCGGGUUGUAAAGCUCUGUGGAGGGGGACGAAUAAGGGCACGCUAAUACCGUGUUUGAUGACGGUACCCCUUUAGCAAGCACCGGCUAACUCUGUGCCAGCAGCCGCGGUAAGACAGAGGGUGCAAACGUUGUUCGGAAUUACUGGGC
rnacentral:rRNA from 1 species